AUUGAACGCUGGCGGCAUGCCUUACACAUGCAAGUCGAACGGCAGCGGGGACUUCGGUCUGCCGGCGAGUGGCGAACGGGUGAGUAAUGUAUCGGAACGUACCAUUCAGUGGGGGAUAACUAUCCGAAAGGAUAGCUAAUACCGCAUAUUCUGUGAGCAGGAAAGCAGGGGAUCGCAAGACCUUGCGCUGAUUGAGCGGCCGAUAUCAGAUUAGCUAGUUGGUGAGGUAACGGCUCACCAAGGCUACGAUCUGUAGCGGGUCUGAGAGGAUGAUCCGCUAAACUGGGGCGGAGACAGGACCCAGACUCCUACGGGAGGCAGCAGUGGGGAAUUUUGGACAAUGGGCGCAAGCCUGAUCCAGCCAUGCCGCGUGAGUGAAGAAGGCCUUCGGGUUGUAAAGCCCUUUCGGCCGGGAAGAAAUCGCAUCAGCUAAUACCUGGUGUGGAUGACGGUACCGGAAUAAGAAGCACCGGCUAACUACGUGCCAGCAGCCGCCGUAA
rnacentral:rRNA from 1 species